rnacentral:rRNA from 1 species
UGCGUACCUUUUGUAUAAUGGGUCAGCGACUUAUAUUCUGUAGCAAGGUUAACCGAAUAGGGGAGCCGAAGGGAAACCGAGUCUUAACUGGGCGUUAAGUUGCAGGGUAUAGACCCGAAACCCGGUGAUCUAGCCAUGGGCAGGUUGAAGGUUGGGUAACACUAACUGGAGGACCGAACCGACUAAUGUUGAAAAAUUAGCGGAUGACUUGUGGCUGGGGGUGAAAGGCCAAUCAAACCGGGAGAUAGCUGGUUCUCCCCGAAAGCUAUUUAGGUAGCGCCUCGUGAAUUCAUCUCCGGGGGUAGAGCACUGUUUCGGCAAGGGGGUCAUCCCGACUUACCAACCCGAUGCAAACUGCGAAUACCGGAGAAUGUUAUCACGGGAGACACACGGCGGGUGCUAACGUCCGUCGUGAAGAGGGAAACAACCCAGACCGCCAGCUAAGGUCCCAAAGUCAUGGUUAAGUGGGAAACGAUGUGGGAAGGCCCAGACAGCCAGGAUGUUGGCUUAGAAGCAGCCAUCAUUUAAAGAAAGCGUAAUAGCUCACUGGUCGAGUCGGCCUGCGCGGAAGAUGUAACGGGGCUAAACCAUGCACCGAAGCUGCGGCAGCGACACUGUGUGUUGUUGGGUAGGGGAGCGU